AAGAUUUGAGGUGGAUGUGUGUGUUUCCAUGAGAAGAGUUAUGAGCCUGGUGAUAGUGUGACAAGGCUUCUGCCCCAUGAACGUGAAGAAGCACUCAUGGUAAGAGUUAAUGUGCAAGUCAAAAGCGUCUGAGAAUUCGGGUCCAAAGUAACAAGAGUCAAGGAAGGCAAGGAGGACAAACGAAGGUGGAAAAUACAUGAAUACUUUAACAGAUCAUAAUUGGGGUUACCUGGGACAAGAGGAGGAAAGAGCAUUAACAAUUGACUAGAUAAACAGGCUGUAAGUUAUGUCCUUAUGCUCAUAUCACAAGCUCUCCUUUCCUAAGCCAUUCCCUUGCGCCCAUAUCACAAGCUCCCUUAUCCCCACAUUGCAAGCUCUCCCUUCCUAGGCCAUUCCUUUACGCCCAUAUCACAAGUUCUCCUUUCCUAGACCAUUCCCUUACGCCCAUAUCACAAGUUCUCCCUUCCUAGGCCAUUCCCUUACGCCGAUAUCACAGGCUCUCUCUUCCUCGGCCAUUCCCUUACGCCCAUAUCACAGGCUCUCCCUUCCUAGGCCAUUCCCUUACGCCCAUAUCACAGGCUCUCUCUUCCUCGGCCAUUCCCUUGAGAUCAGUUCCAGCAAUAUCAGCCAACCGGACGCCGUUCCCUAUGAGCCUUCCAUGAACCGCUUCUAUGAAUUAAUGAAUACACCCAAUUAAUAAUAGUAUGGCCUUAAUAUGGUCAGGAAAAGGGUAACGGGAAGUGAAGUGUGUGGAAUUCAACGAGGGCGAGAAACUUCAGAAGCUGGGGUUGGUUUUUGAGUUGGUAGUGACUGACAUCUCGUAGGGAGGAAGAGCUUGUGGUAUGGGCAGAAAUCCGCAAGUCUGGGCAGAUAUCACACGGACACAUGACUUCGUAGGGUCGAGUAUUAAGGUUAGAUAUAUGACUAGAAUAUAUUUAGAGUUUAGUCUGCGGAAGACGGUACACCCUUAGAGCUUAGACCUGGGAUAUGUUACACCUUUGUCCCUAGUGGAGGAGGACCUGGGAUAUGUUACACCUUUGUCCCUAGUAGAGGAGGACCUGGGAUAUGUUACACCUUUGUCCCUAGUGGAGGAGGACAUCACCCUUAGACACUAGUUAGGGACAGACCUUACAAUCUUGUGGCCAUAGUGGGAAACAUCAUUGUGACCGUAGACUGGGAACACCUUAGAUUCCUGACUUUAGCUUCGGAAGACCUUAGAUUCUUGUGACCUUCGACUGGGGAGGAUCUUAGUAUGGUAAGGUCUUAGUUGGGGUAGCUCUUAGAUCAUUGUGACCUUAGAU